rnacentral:misc_RNA from 1 species
GGCGAGGACCGCGGGGGAGGGUGGGCCCGGGGCGAGGUUGUCGACGUGGCGCGGGGGAGGGAUCAUGACGGGGGAGAGUCGGCCGGGGAGAGGUCUUCAGACGCCGGCGGCGACCCCCCGGCCGACCUCUGCUGUGACGAUGGCGCCGGGACCGCGGCAGAGGGGGGCAGGAGCUCGGACGGCGCGGAGGCGUCCGGGGUGAAGAACCCGACCUGGCGGAUCUUGGGCUCCACGCCGCCCGACGAGGAGCGUGGCGGCCGGCGGAAAUCCAUGGCCGUGGACGGCGCCAAGGGUUUGCUUGGAAGUUUGGGGCCGGCGGGCGGCGCUCGAGACGAGUGUGUGACUGUGAGGAGAGCGAGCGAGAGAGUGGGGAUCCU